CGGUGUUCAACUGGCGUGUCCGCGGGACGUCCUGCCGGUGGGCUUAGCCCGCAAGGGCGGCCCAACUUCAAAUCCCAUCGCGGUGCUCUUCACUGAGUGUCGAGGUGGGCCGGCACGUUUACUUUGAACAAAUUAGAGUGCUUAAAGCAGGCUAAAACUUCGCCUGAAUACUGUGUGCAUGGAAUGAUGGAAUAGGACCUCGGUUCUAUUUUGUUGGUUUUCGGAACCCCGAGGUAAUGAUUAAUAGGAACGGAUGGGGGCAUUCGUAUUGCGACGUUAGAGGUGAAAUUCUUGGAUCGUCGCAAGACGGACAGAAGCGAAAGCAUUUGCCAAAAACGCUUUCAUUGAUCAAGAACGAAAGUUAGAGGUUCGAAGGCGAUCAGAUACCGCCCUAGUUCUAACCAUAAACGAUGCCAGCUAGCGAUCCGUCGACGUUCCUCCGAUGACUCGACGGGCAGCUUCCGGGAAACCAAAGCUUUUGGGUUCCGGGGGAAGUAUGGUUGCAAAGCUGAAACUUAAAGGAAUUGACGGAAGGGCACCACCAGGAGUGGAGCCUGCGGCUUAAUUUGACUCAACACGGGAAACCUCACCAGGCCCGGACACCGGAAGGAUUGACAGAUUGAGAGCUCUUUCUUGAUUCGGUGGGUGGUGGUGCAGGGCCGUUCUUAGUUGGUGGAGCGAUUUGUCUGGUUAAUUCCGAUAACGAACGAGACUCUAGCCUGCUAACUAGGCGUAUUUUCGACAUCUCAAAGGUCCGUCGUCCCGGCCCUCGGGUCGUGGGCGUGCGCGAUUUUUACUGUCGGCGUACUAUCAAUUCUUCUUAGAGGGACAGGUGGCUUCUAGCCGCACGAGAUUGAGCAAUAACAGGUCUGUGAUG
rnacentral:rRNA from 1 species